GCCCCCGUAGCCCAACCUGGCAGAGGCAACCGACUUAAAAUCGGUAAAGGUGCGGGUUCGACUCCCGCCGGGGGCA
rnacentral:tRNA from 1 species